rnacentral:rRNA from 1 species
UGCCAGCAGCCGCGGUAAUACGAAGGGUGCAAGCGUUAUUCGGAUUUACUGGGCGUAAAGCGCACGUAGGCGGUUUGGUAAGUCUGAUGUGAAAGCCCGGGGCUCAACCCCGGAAGUGCAUUGGAUACUGCCAUACUAGAGUACUGGAGAGGAGAGCGGAAUUCCAGGUGUAGAGGUGAAAUUCGUAGAUAUCUGGAGGAACACCAGCGGCGAAGGCGGCUCUCUGGACAGUUACUGACGCUCAGGUGCGAAAGCGUGGGGAGCGAACAGGAUUAGAUA